rnacentral:rRNA from 1 species
CCUACGGGAGGCAGCAGUGAGGAAUAUUCGUCAAUGAGCGCGAGCCUGAACCAGCCAAGUAGCGUGCAGGAUGACUGCCCUACGGGUUGUAAACUUCGUUUAUAAAGGAAUAAAGUGAGGCACGUGUGCCUUUUUGUAUGUACUUUAUGUAUAAGGAUCGGCUAACUCCGUGCCAGCAGCCGCGGUAAUACGGUGGAUCGGAGCGUUGUCCGGAUUUGUUUGGUUUAAAGGGAGAGGAGAUGGGUUUUUAAGUCAGUUGUGAAAGUCUGGGGCUCAACCGUACAAUCGCAAUUGAUACUGGCAGUCUUGAGUAAAGUUGAGGUAGGCGGAAUUCGUGGUGUAGCGGUGAAAUGCGUAGAUAUCACGAAGAACUCCGAUGGCGAAGGCAGCUUACUAAGUUGCCACUGACAUUGAUGGUCGAAAGUGUGGGGAGCAAACAGGAUUAGAUACCCUGGUAGUC